rnacentral:rRNA from 1 species
UACAGAGGUCCCAAGCGUUGUUCGGAUUCACUGGGCGUAAAGGGUGUGUAGGUGGCGCCGUAAGUCAGGUGUGAAAUCUCGGGGCUUAACUCCGAAACUGCAUUUGAUACUGCGGUGCUUGAGGACUGGAGAGGAGACUGGAAUUUAUGGUGUAGCAGUGAAAUGCGUAGAUAUCUGGAGGAACACCGGUGGCGAAGGCGGCAUCCUGGACCAACACUGACGCUGAGGAGCGAAAGCCAGGGGAGCAAACGGG